UUCUCUUGCCCAGCUCUUUUUGUCUCUGCUAAUUUCCCUUCCUUCACUCUGUCAGACACCCUCUUGAAUAUUUAGCAGAGCAAAAUUCUUUAGAGAUUUAUGGAUCACACUUGUCAAGUUAGAAACAGCAGAAAGGAUCACGCAUAUUUCUGAAAUUGCACCAAUAAUGGAGUGUGUGGUACUCCAUCAGAAAAAGUGGUCAUAGUGGAGCUGUGGGCCCACCUUGUUUUCCUUCUUUAUACACAAGAUGGCAUUUAUCUCUGAGAGGUGGAGACAAGAUGCAGGUCUGGCCUUAUAGGACAAGAGCAUCUUGGCGAAGAGCAGAAUGUGCUAUCAUAAAACAUGGCACUUUGGCACAAGGAUUAUUUUGAGCUGAAUGCAAUGGAGAAGCAGCAGAUACAAAAAAAAAAAAAAAGCUUCCUUUCCUGCCCCUAUUUAUCUUAAUAAUUUGUAUUACUCUCCACUCUCCUUUAGGAAGGACAGAAAUUAGUCAAUAGACACAACUCUAGACUCAUAGUACAGAAAUGGCACCAGAGGACAUCUAUAGAACUUUACUAACUAGCUCUUAUCUUUCAUUAAUUUCCCAUGUAUUUUACCUUCCUACAAUUUGCUUCCCCUAGAACCUCAAAUAUCUUUGUGUUGUGACUCCUCUAAAAAUUCAUUGUUCUUUUAAGACAAUACCUAACCUCAAAUUCUAACCAAUCCUUUUGAGUUACUCAUGAGUGCUCCCAUUUGUAAGUGAAAUGCAAAUACAAAACAAACUUGUUUUCUCUUGUUAAUAUAUUUUGUAAUAAUUUACAGGGCCUCAACUGGAGAACCUAGGAAAGUACAGAGAAAAAACUUUCUUCAUUAUACAGGGAUAAUAAUGUAAUAUUGAUGGUGAAAGCAAAGAGUAAAGUCAGAUUAUUGUAGAAAAAACUCUGGAUGGUUUCCAUUCUCACUCCACAAUGCCCCUAAUUGUAUUCAGUUGUAAACAUGAUUGUUUCACCUCUAAUAAAUUGUGAGCUCUUUCAGAACAGAGAUUAUACUGCCCUUCAAACACUGUCCAUUGUCUCUUCUGCCCCCGCCCCAUAUUGUUUCAGCUUCAAAAUCAUCAUCUCUUAAGACAUGUGGGUGACUUCUAGAAGGUUUGAUAAUUCUCAACCCUUCUGGUAAGCAAAAAAGCUACUAAACAAGAUGAUGAGAAACACCAGUUGUGAGUUUUCCUAAAUGAAAACUGAAAUCAUCUUGGAUUCCCUGAGCAUGUUCAAUGUAAUUCAUUCAGAGAGCACAUGUUGUGAGCUAAUUUUAACAUGGAU